AGUAACGGCGAGUGAAGCGGCAACAGCUCAAAUUUGAAAUCUGGCCCUCGGGUCCGAAUUGUAAUUUGUAGAGGAUGCUUUUGGUGAGGGAACUUCCGAGUUCCCUGGAACGGGACGCCAUAGAGGGUGAGAGCCCCGUCUGGGGGGAUACCGAUCCUCUGUAAAGCUCCUUCGACGAGCACAGUUGUUUGGGA
rnacentral:rRNA from 1 species